UACGGGGGGGGCAAGCGUUGUUCGGAAUUACUGGGCGUAAAGGGCUCGUAGGUGGCCAACUAAGUCGGACGUGAAAUCCCUCGGCUUAACCGGGGAACUGCGUCCGAUACUGGUUGGCUUGAGUUUGGGAGAGGGAUGCGGAAUUCCAGGUGUAGCGGUGAAAUGCGUAGAUAUCUGGAGGAAUACCAGUGGCGAAGGCGGCGAUCUGGGUCGAUACUGACGCUGAGGUGCGAAAGCGUGGGGAGCAAACAGG
rnacentral:rRNA from 1 species